rnacentral:tRNA from 2 species
GCCCGGGUGGUGAAAUUGGUAGACACGCUAUCUUGAGGGGGUAGUGGCCACAAGCCGUGCGGGUUCGAAUCCCGCCCCGGGCACCA